AUUCGCGAGCAAGAUCAACUAAAAAAAGGAUUGAAAC
rnacentral:other from 1 species